AUUGAACGCUGGCGGCAGGCCUAACACAUGCAAGUCGAACGAGUGGCGGACGGGUGAGUAAUGUCUGGGAAACUGCCCGAUGGAGGGGGAUAACUACUGGAAACGGUAGCUAAUACCGCAUACCAUCGGAUGUGCCCAGAUGGGGUUAGCUAGUAGGUGGGGUAACGGCUCACCUAGGCGACGAUCCCUAGCUGGUCUGGGAGGAUGACCAGACACACUGGAACGUAGACCCGGGCCAAACUCCUACGGGAGGCAGCAGUGGGGAAUAUUGCACAAUGGGCGCAAGCCUGAUACAGCCAUGCCGCGGGUAUGAAGAAGGCCUUCGGGUUGUAAAGUACUUUCAGCGAGGAGGCGUUACUCGCAGAAUAAGCACCGGCUAACUCCGUGCCAGCAGCCGCGGUAAUAC
rnacentral:rRNA from 1 species